ACGUCAGAUUUCACUACCUGUGCAUAAAUGGAUCAGUAUGCUAGCACAAUUCGACAAUUCAAGACCUGCAGAAGCAACAAGGACUACAAACCAAGGUACACAGAGCAUGAUCCAUGUUCUCGAUGCUGUCCGCAAAUUUCACCACUUCUUCCCACCAUCCAGGAUCCUCCGCAUCAGCCUCCAUGCUGGAUUUACCGUUGAUGUUGCCAUUUUCAAUGUUCUUUUCCAUGACAUUGCCCUGAUAUUCUAUCUGGUCUGACUCCAUUAGCUCAGGAACCACAUCCCAAGGUACAGGACGCAAAGGAGAACGGUAACCUACUCCAAACAUUCAUGUAAUGACUAAGGAUAAUCUGCAAAUUGUUAACUGCUGCAACGAUGGCCC
rnacentral:lncRNA from 1 species